rnacentral:rRNA from 1 species
UAACCUACGGGGCGCAGCAGUGGGGAAUAUUGCACAAUGGGGGAAACCCUGAUGCAGCAACGCCGCGUGAAGGAAGACGGUUUUCGGAUUGUAAACUUCUGUUCUUAGUGAAGAAUAAUGACGGUAGCUAAGGAGCAAGCCACGGCUAACUACGUGCCAGCAGCCGCGGUAAUACGUAGGUGGCAAGCGUUGUCUGGAAUUACUGGGUGUAAAGGGAGCGCAGGCGGGAAGCCAAGUCAGCUGUGAAAACGACGGGAUUAACUUGUGGACU